rnacentral:lncRNA from 1 species
UAUGAUUAAUCCAAAAUAAAAUUCAACAUUUUGAUUUGAUUUCAAAAUUCAAAAAGAAUAAUGAUUAGAUGCAAUCUUAAUGGAACAAAAGAGGAUUGGGAGAAGAAGAAGAUCCAAUGCAUACUUGCACCGUGAUACCCAAAAACAAAUUGGCAUCGGGCUAUAUAGUGAAUGACUUUUAUCAUUGAAUAGUCGUGAACAAUGGAAAACUCCAAACUGCCAGUCCAUAUCUUCCCAAGCUUCAAAGUAAAUGCAUCUUUAAUACAAAGCAUUUGUUUCAUUGUUUAUACUCACAAUCAACAACUUUUAUCAUGGAUAUGGAUCUUUUUUCCCAAAUAUUUUGGACAUCUGCAUAGAAGUUAGAAAACAAUCACUUAAUUACUCUAGAGUAUAUCUUAGAGACGAAAAUAUCUUCUCUUGCAUUAAGCAACCAACAUUUUCGCAACAUUAUGCCUGAGCAGAUGUGGAGAUCAAUCCAUUCAAUGCUUAUAGGAAGUUCAACUGCCCACAAUCACAUGUCUCUCAGAAUCUGAAGAAAUUAUGAGUGGGUUCAGUAAACAUGAAAAACCUAUCAAGAUUAAAGAAUUCUGACUUUGUCGGGUUUCUUAAAGAUAGGGAACACAAUUCACUUUGAAUAUCUAUUUAACACAUCUAGCUAAAGCCCAAUCUUCUUAAUUUUAAUCAGUACUUAAUACUAAUAGUAUAAACUGAUUUGCGAAUGAGCCUGUGGCUCAAUGGUAGCACCCCUCUCACAAAGUGGAGAGGUCGUGGGUUCGAAACACGUCAACAGCGGAUUGUUGAUAUAAGUUUCCACACGUAAUUUAAAAAGGGGUAGGGGUCCCCACAACCUCGCUUGCCAACCAAAAAAAAAAAUAAAAAAAUAGUAUAAACUGAUUUAAGUGAUUACAACACUUCUUGGGAUAAUAACUACAUCACAACCUAACACUAACUUUAUAAAUCGAAGUGAGUCGUUACAACGACAACUUUUGGUGUAAUUUACUAUUGUCAUUUAAGAAAAAAAUAAAUUAUAGGUUGUAUUGCAUUGUCUGUAGAAAAAGUGAAAUCUACCAAUGUGUAGCCGAUUAAUUUUCUCCCAUGGUUUAAUUGCAUCUAAUGUUAUUAGGUUCCUAAACCACCAUUUCUGCAACCAUAACAAAUUCACAAUCAUAGUAAUUGGAUGUAUUCUAACAUCAUUUAAAAUAUUUUCAAGAGUAUUUUCAAAUAUGAUUAACAUCACUUCAAGUGUUUUCAAAGAUGCCGAAGUGUCUUUACUAUUCUUUAAAAGUUAAAAAUUUAAACAAACUGACCUGAGAUUCUUGCCUAUAAUCAUUCAAUCCUCACCAGUAAAGGAUGGCAUAUGAUGGGGUUGAAAGAAUUGAAAGAGUUUGGAGUUUUGCAGAUUCGAUCCUAUCGAAGUUAGAGAGAUGGUGAGUUUAAUGAUUGAGAGUGAGAGCCUGAGAGGGGAAGAAGAGAAAGAAGU